UGGGGAAUUUUGGACAAUGGGGGCAACCCUGAUCCAGCAAUGCCGCGUGUGUGAAGAAGGCCUUCGGGUUGUAAAGCACUUUUGUCCGGGAAGAAAUCGCACCUGAUAAUACCGGGUGUGGAUGACGGUACCGGAAGAAUAAGGACCGGCUAACUACGUGCCAGCAGCCGCGGUAAUACGUAGGGUCCAAGCGUUAAUCGGAAUUACUGGGCGUAAAGCGUGUGCAGGCGGUUGUGCAAGACCGAUGUGAAAUCCCCGGGCUUAACCUGGGAAUUGCAUUGGUGACUGCACGGCUAGAGUGUGUCAGAGGGGGGUAGAAUUCCACGUGUAGCAGUGAAAUGCGUAGAGAUGUGGAGGAAUACCGAUGGCGAAGGCAGCCCCCUGGGAUAACACUGACGCUCAUGCACGAAAGCGUGGGGAGCAAACAGG
rnacentral:rRNA from 1 species